UCUUGUUUUAACCUGGGGUCGGGAGGUGAAAGGUAAUCGCCCGAGAAUGUUUGAAUAUGAGAUAGAUGUAGGUGCAAGGGAAAUUGUCAUGACUAGUAGUUCCGGUCUUAUUGAUCAAUGCGAUGAUCUGAGGACUAAAAAUUCGUUCGUCUAUUUCAACGUGGACCGUGGAAGAGGCAGGAGUGGUGUUAGUUAUUUUGAACCGCGAGAAAAAUUCGAAAAGCUCUGCUAGUUAUGAGAAUUUGGUGGAUCGGAAGUUUACUCUUCCACGCAUCCGCUCAAUAAAUUUGGAGGAAGUGCCGCUUCUGAAUCCACGGAGACAUCGUUGGAAUUGGUCUAUAAUCCAAUCAAGUUCAUCUCUUUUUUGUGGUUGAGUAGGACACAAGUACCCAUUGUUGUUUACCAUUCACUUCUAGCAUGUAGCAUGUUAAAU